AGUCGAGCGGACCGAAGGGAGCUUGCUCCUUUAGGUUAGCGGCGGACGGGUGAGUAACACGUGGGCAACCUGCCCUGCAGACUGGGAUAACUUCGGGAAACCGGAGCUAAUACCGGAUAACACCGAAAACCGCAUGGUUUUCGGUUGAAAGGCGGCUUUUAGCUGUCACUGCAGGAUGGGCCCGCGGCGCAUUAGCUAGUUGGUGAGGUAACGGCUCACCAAGGCGACGAUGCGUAGCCGACCUGAGAGGGUGACCGGCCACACUGGGACUGAGACACGGCCCAGACUCCUACGGGAGGCAGCAGUAGGGAAUCUUCCGCAAUGGACGAAAGUCUGACGGAGCAACGCCGCGUGAGCGAAGAAGGUCUUCGGAUCGUAAAGCUCUGUUGUCAGGGAAGAACAAGUACCGUUCGAACAGGGCGGUACCUUGACGGUACCUGACGAGGAAGCCACGGCUAACUACGUGCCAGCAGCCGCGGUAAUACGUAGGUGGCAAGCGUUGUCCGGAAUUAUUGGGCGUAAAGCGCGCGCAGGCGGUUCCUUAAGUCUGAUGUGAAAUCUCGCGGCUCAACCGCGAGCGGCCAUUGGAAACUGGGGAACUUGAGUGCAGGAGAGGGGAGCGGAAUUCCACG
rnacentral:rRNA from 1 species